rnacentral:rRNA from 1 species
GGGAUUAGAUACCCCACUAUGCACAGCCCUAAACUUUGAUAGAAACAUUACACCCACUAUCCGCCAGGGUACUACGAGCUCUAGCUUAAAAUCCAAAGGACUUGGCGGUGCUUUAGACCCACCUAGAGGAGCCUGUUCUAGAACCGACAACCCCCGUUCAACCUCACCCUCCCUUGUUUAUCCCGCCUAUAUACCGCCGUCGUCAGCUUACCCCAUGAAGGAUUCAUAGUAAGCAAAACUAGUACAACUUAAAACGCCAGGUCGAGGUGUAGCGCAUGAGAGGGGAAGAAAUGGGCUACAUUCCCUAAAUAAGGGCACACGGAAAAUACAAUGAAAUGCGUAUUGGAAGGAGGAUUUAGCAGUAAGCAGAAAAUAGAGUGUUCUACUGAAACUGGCCCUGAAGCGCGCACACACCGCCCGUCACCCCUUAA